CUUCCGUAGGUGAACCUGCGGAAGGAU
rnacentral:ncRNA from 3 species